GCUUUCCUGUGGUUCAGUCAGUAGAGCAUUGUGCUAACAACACAAAGACCAUGGGUCCAAACCCCAGGUAAAGCC